GAAAAUUGUCUUCAUAAACGGCCCUUCAACAUUACAGACAAUUUCAUUCACCAAAUCUAAACCCCAAUGCUCUUAUCAAUUUCUGCCCAAAUCUCAAGAUCAAGAUGCAAGGAACCGACUCCGACUUGCUACUGUGGGAUGAAAAUCAUUUUGAAGAAUCCGGGAUAUAAAGUCGGAUUAAUGAAAUAAAUUUCUCUACCUGUUCUAAUAUGCACCUGAGAGGGAGGGGAAUGCAAGCUAAUCCAAUCACAAUUUGAGCAUUUCACAUCUAAACUCCUAGAGGCUGAUGCACCCAUCAAACAGGGGUCAUUUCACAUGGAUUUCCCUGAACCAGAUCCAGAGGAUGCCAAGAUUGCUCGUACUAUAGAAAAAAAGUUCUAGAGAUUUGGGAAUCAAAAUGGACUUUCAAAUUCAUUACUCGACAUCAGGAUCAAUGCUAAAUGAACCAGAAGUCUAGCAUCAUCUGUUAGUAUAAGAAGCUUAACCGCUGUGGGAAUCCUUGUCGGAGGGUAUGAUCGGUGCGAGAUGGCAUAUGGGCAAAAAUAAAUGACUUAGCAAGAAACAAAGGAAGAGCGCCUUCACUGUAUAGAUAGAUUUUAAGGAGCCUCAACUUGCCUAUUUUGCAUUUGAAUUUUGCUGCAAGAUUGUCCAAGAAAGCUAAAGUUCAUGCAAUCUUUAUACUGGGAUGCUGCUGAGAAAAGGAAAUCAACCUAGGACUUGGUUGACUGA